CAGUCGCCGCGGGAAUACGUAGGUGGCAAGCGUUGUCCGGAAUUAUUGGGCGUAAAGGGCUCGCAGGCGGUUUCUUAAGUCUGAUGUGAAAGCCCCCGGCUCAACCGGGGAGGGUCAUUGGAAACUGGGAAACUUGAGUGCAGAAGAGGAGAGUGGAAUUCCACGUGUAGCGGUGAAAUGCGCAGAGAUGUGGAGGAACACCAGUGGCGAAGGCGACUAUCUGGUCUGUAACUGACGCUGAGGAGCGAAAGCGUGGGGAGCGAACAGGAUUAGAUACCCGAGUAGUCCCUGUCUCUUAUAC
rnacentral:rRNA from 1 species